UUGAUUCUUCAACUCUUGCAUCCUGGGUAAAGACCCUUCUUUCUGAGCAUCUUUGAUUCAGAGAUCGAGUUUUCUUGUGAGAAAUUUGAGCCAAUGUCAAGUACACCGUCUCUUUUACUUUGAAUAGAGAAAAGAGUGCUAUUUUCUCUCAUUCAAAAAUGAAAGAGUUGCAAGAACCUCCAUUUUUCUACUUGUUUCAUUCUCCUAAAAUUUUGGUAGGAGGACCACGGCAGUGUCACUUUAGGAGGAGCUUUUGGCAUUAGAAUGUGGUUGUUCAUGAACAGCCAAUUCUAUGCAUUGAAUCUCGCAGGAGCAAUACCAUUUUAGAGGAGUUUUGAGCAUAAAACUUGGCUGUUCAUGAACAACUACUCUUGUUUCAAUGCUUGAGCAUUUGAGGCAGCAACAACGUCAUUUUGACAGAUCGAGUUCGUAAAAAAGAAGAAGACGGUUUUGUCUCAAUGUAAAUUUACGAUUCACCGUCGCAAAGUCUUUAUAAAUGUAGGCUUCUGGAAGAUCUUCUGGGGGAUGUGAAAAGCUAGCUAGGUACGUACUUACAACUUGAGCUAAGCAACUACAUGCUGCUGAAAAGAAAUAAUGAAGGACCACUCCAUUUUGAGAAAAGGUGCAUGGACUAUCGAAGACGAUUAUCUUCUGAGGCAGUGCAUUGAAAAUCUCGGAGAAGGAAGAUGGAACCUGAUUGCACGAUCUGCAGGUGGUCAUUGAUUGCCGGAAGACUUCCGGGGAGGACAGCAAAUGAUGUGAAAAAACUUUUGGAGCACGAGGCUACGGAGAAAGAUAGCUGGAGAUGUGUAAAUCACUAGACAUAAAUGCCAAGAAACGGUGAAGGCCAUCAUAGUAAGACCUAAUGCCAGAAGAUUAUCAGACAGUUCGCGUUGUUUGAGAAUUCAGUCGGACAAGAACAUUGGCAGGUGUUUCCAACAUCAGCACCACCAAUAUUACAGCAAGAAAUUGAUUGUUUUAAAAAGACUUUAGGAGGAGGAGGAUAGUAGUAAAACCACAACAUGUUCUAGUUUGACUGGUGAAGGAUAGAGCUACAGGGAAUGAACUUGAUUGGUGGAGAACCUUCUUAUAUGAUGAGGAAAUUGGUAUUAAAACUAGUCCUUGUCUUGGGUUAGAGCAAGGCUCUUUUACGUACAAAACGUUUAGGUAACAUGUAUGUGCCAGUUUUUAUGAAGAAGGUCGAGUGAGUAGUCGGAGUAACUUCUCUCCGGUGAUUGGAUCUUUAGCUAUUAUUUACUUUC